GCAAAAAUUUUCCCGCCACUUUUCUCAUUUGCCCUGAAUUCUCCGCAACUCUCAGCAAACCUAGAGAGAGAUCGAGAACAACAUGGAAGAUGAGAUGAAAACAGAAUUCAACAAAAGUGGGUUCACAAUGGACAACGAAGAAGAAAUUCUCAAGGAAUGUAAAGCUCUUCCAUUUUCUCCUUAAUCUAUUUUCACUUGUAUUUGCCAUAGCUGAUGCUUUAGCUUUCCAAUCUGCUUUGAUUAUUAGCCCUUACUUGCUGUUACAAUCUCAAGCCAUUUACUAAAAAAUCAAUUAUUCUUCAUUAAUUAUUUAGUAUAAUUGCUAAUUGGAUAUGAGAGGCUAGUUUUGUUUAUUUUACACAGUGUUAGCUUCAUGUUACUUGAAUGAAGUUACACCGACAAUGAUUAUACCCAUGCAAGGUGCCUAGUUCCAAUCAAAUUAUAGUGUUUUGAGGAAUCAGUGAAUGAAGACUUGAGUUGCAGACAGUCAACAACGACAUACAAGUUUCAUUUGGGGAAAAUUUUAGCAAAUGAGAGUGCAGAGAGUUUGGAUUCUGCUCAAAAUUUGUAGAAACUUGAACUUCACAACUUUUGACACCAAUUCUCUUCUGUCCCAAUUCUAUCAGCAACUUUGUUUCUAUAAAAUUAUUCACAGCUUACUGAUUCUGGCCCUUUUACCACAACAGACAACUUAUUUUUUGAGCCUCUGCCAAAAUUGCUGGCAUAUGCAAGCAGAAAACUAUCACUGUUGCUUAUUCUGGUUUGAAAUCACUAUCUUUCAUAUGCAGCAUCAUAUUUGCUGUACUUACCUGGCCAGAGAGGCAUCUAUUGUUGACUUAUUGGCAUUUUUCUCAGCUGGGACCAUUUGUUGACUCUAAACAUCCAGAUAUUAAGAAAGGAACUGUAGAUAGGAGCUUUGGGAGAUAUUUUGUAUGGAGAUUCUUAGAAGGGUAGAUAUUCAGAAGUAUAUUUUUUUGAGUUCAUAAACCCAAAAUUAAACAUCAGGUACAUGAUCUACAACUGAGGAUUUCAUCUUUAGCAACCGGAAGCUGUUCCCUAAAUGUUUACCAUAAGCAAGUCAUCGACACAUUUCAAAUCAUUUUGUUCCCUUACCAGAUAACCAGUCUCUUUUCAGCAAAUCAGGUAAAAUGGUCAAAGUAGGUUGCUGCACAGUGGAUAUUCUAAAACAGCUUAAUGGAGAGGAGAUGUCACGAAAUUCAAAAGAUGGAACACCGAGUGAUCGAAUGAGCAGACUUGCAAAUCAUAUUCUUAGCCAGCGCAAGCAUAAGCUAAAAUCAAGCUUUUUGAAAAUCUGAUAUUUUAGUAGGUUCAGAAAAUCAGAGUUUUGGAGAAUUUAAAACCCUUUUCUUAUUAUUGGAACAGCUUUUAUCCACUAUAUCCACCAACAGAAGAUGUUCCACUGGAUUUUUCACUUGCUUUAGAAGCUCUUCUUAUCACCUCAAUUCCCGAUAUUCUUAUUCUACUUUCAGACAUGAAGUACUUUAUAAAGGUACCGUCGUGAAGGGGAAGAGCAAAUGAAGUGCAAUUUGUAUGAACCCAGGAAGAUUGCCUAAGGGAGGAGGGGGCACCUUUGUAGAGCUUAACUACCAUGGGAGUGCUGACAAGAUGAAUGCUUCAAUCAUAGGAAUAUGAGUUCUGGAUUGAAAUUUUCUAUGGCGCAUUGAUAUGGCAGUUGGCUCACAAGAUGAGAAUUAAAGAUCUGACAUACCUAUAGUUCAACUUAUUAGAUGAAUUGGUGAGUUCACAAAACUCCAUCCAUUGCAGUAAAUCUGCAUUAAUGUUACAAUUAAUUGCAUAGUUUGGCCAA